UGGGGAAUAUUGGACAAUGGGCGAAAGCCUGAUCCAGCCAUGCCGCGUGUGUGAAGAAGGCCUUUUGGUUGUAAAGCACUUUAAGCGAGGAGGAGGCUACUUGGAUUAAUACUCUAGGAUAGUGGACGUUACUCGCAGAAUAAGCACCGGCUAACUCUGUGCCAGCAGCCGCGGUAAUACAGAGGGUGCGAGCGUUAAUCGGAUUUACUGGGCGUAAAGCGUGCGUAGGCGGCUUCUUAAGUCGGAUGUGAAAUCCCUGAGCUUAACUUAGGAAUUGCAUUCGAUACUGGGAAGCUAGAGUAUGGGAGAGGAUGGUAGAAUUCCAGGUGUAGCGGUGAAAUGCGUAGAGAUCUGGAGGAAUACCGAUGGCGAAGGCAGCCAUCUGGCCUAAUACUGACGCUGAGGUACGAAAGCAUGGGGAGCAAACAGGA
rnacentral:rRNA from 1 species